GACUGGAUAGGAAACAAAAAGGCAUCUUUUUGUUUUUAAAAGACCUUCUUACGAAGGUAUGCUUAAAGAGGGGCUUGCGCCACAUUAGUUAGUUGGUAGAGUAAAAGCCUACCAAGACGAUGAUGUGUAGCUGGACUGAGAGGUUGAACAGCCACAUUGGGACUGAGACACGGCCCAAACUCCUACGGGAGGCAGCAGUAGGGAAUUUUCGGCAAUGGAGGAAACUCUGACCGAGCAACGCCGCGUGAACGAUGAAGUAUUUCGGUAUGUAAAGUUCUUUUANUUGAAGAAGAAAAAGUAGUGGAAAAACUAUAUNUGACGUUAUUCAAUGAAUAAGCCCCGGCUAACUAUGUGCCAGCAGCCGCGGUAAGACAUNAGGGGGCGAGCGUUAUCCGGAAUUAUUGGGCGUAAAGGGUGCGUAGGCUGUUAGAUAAGUCUAUAAUUUAAUUUCAGUGCUUAACGCUGUCUUGUUAUAGAAACUGUCUUGACUAGAGUGAGAUAGAGGCAAUCCGCAGUUGCAUGGGUAGCGGUAAAAUGUGUAAAUAUAUGGAGGAACACCAGAAGCGUAGGCGGCUUGCUGGGUCUUUACUGACGCUGAGGCACGAAAGCGUGGGUAGCAAACAGGAUUAGAUACCCUGGUAGUCCACGCCGUAAACGAUGAGUACUAAGUGUCGGGGUAAAACUCGGUACUGAAGUUAACACAUUAAGUACUCCGCCUGAGUAGUACGUACGCAAGUAUGAAACUUAAAGGAAUUGACGGGACUCCGCACAAGCGGUGGAUCAUGUUGUUUAAUUCGAAGAUACACGAAAAAUCUUACCAGGUCUUGACAUACUCUGCAAAGCUAUAGAAAUAUAGUGGAGGUUAUCAGGGAUACAGGUGGUGCAUGGUUGUCGUCAGUUCGUGUCGUGAGAUGUUAGGUUAAGUCCUAAAACGAACGCAACCCUUGUCGUUAAUUGCCAGCACAUAAUGGUGGGGACUUUAACGAGACUGCCAAUUAAACAUUGGAGGAAGGUGAGGAUUACGUCAAAUCAUCAUGCCCCUUAUGAUCUGGGCUACAAACGUGAUACAAUGGCUGUGACAAAGAGUAGCUGAAACGCGAGUUUUUAGCCAAUCUCAAAAAAGCAGUCUCAGUUCGGAUUGAAGUCUGUAACUCGACUUCAUGAAGUUGGAAUCGCUAGUAAUCGCGAAUCAGCAUGUCGCGGUGAAUACGUUCUCGGGGUUUGUACACACCGCCCGUCAAACCACGAAAGUUAGCAAUGCCCGAAAGCAGUAGCUUAACUUCGCAAGAAGAGGGAACUGUCU
rnacentral:rRNA from 1 species